CCUACGGGAGGCAGCAGUGAGGAAUAUUGGUCAAUGGGCGCAAGGCUGAACCAGCCAAGUCGCGUGAGGGAAGACGGACCUAUGGAUUGUAAACCUCUUUUGUCGGGGAAUAAAGGUCUCCACGCGUGGAUAUCUGCAUGUACCCGAUGAAAAAGCAUCGGCUAACUCCGUGCCAGCAGCCGCGGUAAUACGGAGGAUGCGAGCGUUAUCCGGAUUUAUUGGGUUUAAAGGGUGCGUAGGGUGAAAAUUAAGUCAGCGGUUAAAGUUGGGGGCUCAACCCUUAUGGAGCCGUUGAAACUGGUUUUCUUGAGUGAGUUUGAAGUAUGCGGAAUGCGUGGUGUAGCGGUGAAAUGCAUAGAUAUCACGCAGAACUCCGAUUGCGAAGGCAGCAUACCGGGGCUCAACUGACGCUGAUGCACGAAAGUGUGGGGAUCGAACAGGAUUAGAUACCCCGGUAGUC
rnacentral:rRNA from 1 species